CCUGCUUGCUGGUGUUGCCAUCCUGUUUCUUGCUGCUAUUUGUUUUACCAUGUGGCCAUAAACCUUGAGGAAAGGACAAAGCAAAUUUAUCAUCUAUGGGACGUUGUUGGUUAAUGGAGGGAAAUUGCAGUGUUCUAUAAAAGCAGAGCCUCUACUGAGUACAUAAUUCUCGUUAAAAGCAGCCACCUGUAUGCAGCUCACACCCACCAGCUUGGCAGUGUCUCUUCCCUCUGCCUGAAAUAUUUGUGCUUUAUCCUGGGAUCACAUCACGAGUUUCAAAGUGUCUUUGAUACAGGAGACCUACUCAGGGACCAAAAGCAUUGAAGGUGAUGCUAUAUCCAGAGACCUGUCCCCACCAAAUACCCAGUGGCAAUCAACUCUGCUUGUAAAUGAUAACCUUCCUUUUAAUAUGGUGAUCUGCAUCCACACAUGAGCUCAUUGAGGAGAGGAGAGCCAUUCAUUGCACAACGAUUGUAGCUGUGGGCAUCCAGUCCUUUGGAUAAUGAAUCUGUGUAGAAAUAUACUGAAAGCAAAAUAUACUCCUGGAGGGAAGGAAAAAGCCAGAAAAGUACAAGCAGUGAGAUGGUUAACUGGCUCCAGGACAGAUGCUCAUGUUGCUCUAAUUUUGACAAAAGUACAUUGGCUUCCUGUGAAGCAAAGAAUUGAUUUUAAAACACCGUAUUUGCAGACCAAGCACUGUGGCUCAAGUCCAGCUCUCUUGAAAAACAUAUUAACAGCCCCUCACAUUCUCUUUGUUCUUUUGAAAACCAUCAACUGCUUCAGACACCUACUGUAGCUUCCCGUGGUUCAUAUACUAGAUGUCUUUUAAUGGCCACUUCUCUUAUCUCUUGGACAUUUAUGGUUUAAAUUCAGACAUUUUUAGAAUGUGUAUUAAUGUUCUUCACUACUUCAUUGCAAAAACUCACUGUAGCUU